UUGCCUACGGGAGAAAGUGGGGGAUCUUCGGACCUCACGCUAUUAGAUGAGCCUAGGUCGGAUUAGCUAGUUGGUGAGGUAAUGGCUCACCAAGGCGACGAUGUAACUGGUCUGAGAGGAUGCAUCACACUGGAACUGAGACACGGUCCAGACUCCUACGGGAGGCAGCAGUGGGGAAUAUUGGACAUGGGCGAAAGCCUGAUCCAGCCAUGCCGCGUGUGUGAAGAAGGUCUUCGGAUUGUAAAGCACUUUAAGGGAGGAAGGGCAGUACCUAAUACGUAUUGUUUUGACGUUACCGACAGAAUAAGCCGGCUAACUCUGUGCCAGCAGCCGCGGUACAGAGGGUGCAAGCGUUAAUCGGAAUUACUGGGCGUAAAGCGCGCGUAGGUGGUUUGUUAAGUUGGAUGUGAAAGCCCCGGGCUCAACCUGGGAACUGCAUCCAAAACUGGCAAGCUAGAGUAUGGUAGAGGGUGGUGGAAUUUCCUUGUAGCGGUGAAAUGCGUAGAUAUGGAACACAGUGGCGAAGGCGACCACCUGGACUGAUACUGACACUGAGGUGCGAAAGCGGGGAGCAAACAGGAUUAGAUACCCUGGUAGUCCACGUAAACGAUUCAACUAUCA
rnacentral:rRNA from 1 species